UGCACCUUAGUUAAGUUGCAGCCGGUCCCUCCGCGGCUCCGGCUGCUGCCAGAGAGGUGCGUUUACUGCUGCCUGGUCAUCUGGACUCUGUUUGCAUGUCCAAAAGUCAUGGAUAAACUAGCCGGCGAACAAAC